rnacentral:rRNA from 1 species
UACGUAGGGUGCAAGCGUUAAUCGGAAUUACUGGGCGUAAAGCGUGCGCAGGCGGUGAUGUAAGACAGAUGUGAAAUCCCCGGGCUCAACCUGGGACCUGCAUUUGUGACUGCAUCGCUAGAGUACGGCAGAGGGGGAUGGAAUUCCGCGUGUAGCAGUGAAAUGCGUAGAUAUGCGGAGGAACACCGAUGGCGAAGGCAAUCCCCUGGGCCUGUACUGACGCUCAUGCACGAAAGCGUGGGGAGCAACAGG